rnacentral:rRNA from 1 species
AUAAGGUAUCUUAUCCUGAAUACAUAGGGGUAAGAAGCGAAC